CAUGGGGUUGCAAAGAGUCGGACACGACUGAGCGACUGAACUGAACUGUGUUGGCACUUAAUUUUAGGGGCAAAGAGAAGUCAUGACACAUUUUAAUAAUCAUGUUUGCAGUUUAGAAUUGUUCAACAGGGGUUGGGGUGGGGACUGGAGACAGAAUUUAAGCAAGAGAUGAUCUUGAUCUGUGAAUGACAGUAGGGAUGGAGAAAAGUCAGAUGGGAUGGUACUUAAAUAGAGAAUUAUCAGCAACUGCUGGUAGAGGGGAAAACCCAACAAAACUUUUCUUUCCCCAUUUCUCCUUCCAGCUGGCCCCCCAAAUGCCGUCCCAUUUCCAGUCCUUUCUUUCACUGCAUUCGACGAUGCUCCACCAAUGCUCAGCUCGGUCAUUUCGUUUUCUGGUGCACUGCUCUUAGAGGUUUACAGUGGCCCGGAAACUACAGUCCUACGGGACCUGGGAGGGCUGUGGGCACCAAGUAGUUUGCACACAGCCCUGCCAGCAGCGCAAAUAAAUGACCUCCCUAACACCCCAAAGCUGGUGCAUUACAAAGUGCAUAUUUCAAAUCCAGCUUUAGGGAUUUUUCAAUAACACUUCAUUGCUGCUUCCCGAUGUUAAACAAGAGAAAGUUAAAACAACAACAACAAAAAAACAGCAUUACCCAAAUACAAUGUCCUGAGCAAAGCAACGGAAACAACCAGAGACACCAGACAGCCUGUCAGGUGUUUGUCUAGGGGUACCAGUGUUGCAAGUCCGAGGCCAGUCCCAGAGAAUGUGAAGUGCGCAUGUGCUGAAGGGCCUAGGCUCGCCCCAUCGCAGGGGCGGAGGAAGGACAGUGCGCAUGUGUUGAAGGUCUGAGGUCCGCCCCGGAAGAGGUGGGGAAGGGGCCUAAAAGCAGAGGUUUGGUGCUAUCCGUUAGCCUAAACAGCCCAUGUUCUGUUAGCGGAACCCAUGCCAUGGACGAUCCCUUCAUUACACCUAGGACCACUGCCUUACGGCUUCUCCGUAAGCAUUACAUCUUCGGAUUCCCCGAGGGCCAAAGAGAACACGGGACCGGAAGCGCUGACUCCCCCCGUGGUAUUUCCAGGGGCGGAGGAAGAUGGCGAAAUCCAUUGGGUAGUGGGAUCAGAAGAGGGCGGUUCACUCGGCCUGUGUCUGGGGCACUAUGGGUAUUGUAGUUCAGGGCUCCGCGGUCCUGCUUGCGGCGAGGAAUCUUGGAAGCCAGUGGGUCCAAGCUGGUCAGGGAAGCGCCUUGCACUGGGGCAUCAGGUGUGGAGUGGCUGCAGGGGCGUGUCUUCGUUCUGCUAUUUCUCUUUCGGGCCCUGGAAUUCUUCUCUGUCCUUCUUUCUCCCGUUUGAGAUGCUGACUCUUGGCUAUAAGGACAGUAGACCUGACCUGAGUGAGUAAUGAAUGAUUGUGUCUCUGUGUAUCUGAGAGAGAGAAGGAGAGACAAUGAAGGAGAAUAUUAAUGUGUGAGUAGGCUGUAUCCCACUCAAUCUUGCUCUAUUAAAGAGUUUAAAGUGGAUAGUGUAUAUCUACUUAAGGUCAGGUGGUGACAGUAGGAAAGAAGAAUAGAUUUGUUAAGCAAAACAACACUGGAAACGAUUAACUUUUAAACUACUUAUACUUGCUUUUUAUGCAUUUCCAGUUUAAAACCCACAAAACAAACUAACUUUGAGAAUGGUUAAUUAAAUUAACCUCUUAAACUUUAAGGUGGUUUUUAUUUUGAUUCAUAGUAUGGAACCCUGACCUGCCUCCUGAGAAAUCUGUAUGCAGGUCAAGAAGUAACAGUU
rnacentral:lncRNA from 1 species